CAAAGAGUCAAACACAGCUGAGUGACUGAACUGAACUGAGUCAAUCACGUAUACUCCCAGUUUUCUGAAGUCAUUGUGCUGUUUUAAACUCUCGCCUGCCUCCCAGAUGUGUCUGAUAGUUCCUGUUGCUCUGCUUCCUUGACAGCCUUUGGUGAUGUCAGUAUUCUUCAUUUGAGCCAUUCAUGGGUUGUACAGACACCAUCAGUUUUUAUCCCUUAAGUCAGGAGUUUUUCUACUUCCAUGUGUAUGAGAAUUUUGUGGUUGAGGGGAGAAUGGAUCCAUGUAUAUGCAUGGCUAAGUCCCUUCACUGUUCACCUGAAAUUAUCGCAUCAUUGUUAGUUGGCUAUACCCCAAUUCAAAAUAAAAAGUUUUUUUUUUUUUAAGAA